UUGCUCAUUUUGCAGAAUACUUUCAUAUCAGUUUCAUUACAAGGAGCAAAGAUGUUCCUGUGGUUAAAUUCGGUGUUCUUUCUAGCAAUCCUCAGAGGUGUCCAAUCUGAGGUCCAGUUGGUGGAGUCUGGAGGAGAUGUGAGAAGACCUGGAGAGUCCCUCCGUCUCUCCUGCCAAGCCUCUGGAUUCACCUUUGGUGGCACCAGCAUGAACUGGGUGAGACAGGCUCCAGGGAAAGGACUGGAAUGGGUGGCAUACAUAAGCUCUACUUCCAGUGCUAUUUACUACUCAGACAAAGCGAAGGGGCACUUCACCGUCUCCAGGGACAAUGCCAAAAGCCAGCUGUCUCUGCAAAUGAACAGCCUCCAACCUGAAGACACGGCAGUCUAUUACUGUGCGAGACACACAGUGAGAAGAAGUGAAUCUGAAGCGUGGCAUAAAAAAACCCCUAUCGUUCUUCAGAGCAGCCCUGCAAGUCCAUUCAGCCUGAGAAGAUUUAAUUUUUCUAUGAGAAUAACUUGA